GAUGAACGCUGGCGGCGUGCCUAAUACAUGCAAGUCGAGCGAACGGACGAGAAGCUUGCUUCUCUGAUGUUAGCGGCGGACGGGUGAGUAACACGUGGAUAACCUACCUAUAAGACUGGGAUAACUUCGGGAAACCGGAGCUAAUACCGGAUGAUAUUUUGAACCGCAUGGUUCAAAAGUGAAAGACGGUCUUGCUGUCACUUAUAGAUGGAUCCGCGCUGCAUUAGCUAGUUGGUAAGGUAACGGCUUACCAAGGCAACGAUGCAUAGCCGACCUGAGAGGGUGAUUCGCCACACUGGAACUGAGACACGGUCCAGACUCCUACGGGAGGCAGCAGUAGGGAAUCUUCCGCAAUGGGCGAAAGCCUGACGGAGCAACGCCGCGUGAGUGAUGAAGGUCUUCGGAUCGUAAAGCUCUGUUAGUAGGGAAGAACAUAUGUGUAAGUAACUGUGCACAUCUUGACGGUACCUAAUCAGAAAGCCACGGCUAACUCCGUG
rnacentral:rRNA from 1 species